UACGUAGGGUGCAAGCGUUGUCCGGAAUUAUUGGGCGUAAAGAGCUCGUAGGCGGUCUGUCGCGUCGGCUGUGAAAUCUCGGGGCUCAACCCCGAGCCUGCAGUCGAUACGGGCAGACUAGAGUGCUGUAGGGGAGACUGGAAUUCCUGGUGUAGCGGUGAAAUGCGCAGAUAUCAGGAGGAACACCGGUGGCGAAGGCGGGUCUCUGGGCCGAUACUGACACUGAGGAGCGAAGGCGUGGGGAGCGAACAGG
rnacentral:rRNA from 1 species